UAGGGAAUUUUCCACAAUGGGCGAAAGCCUGAUGGAGCAACGCCGCGUGCAGGAUGAAGGCUUUAGGGUCGUAAACUGCUUUUAUGUGCGAUGAAUUUGACAGUAACACAUGAAUAAGGAUCGGCUAACUACGUGCCAGCAGCCGCGGUUAUACGUAGGAUCCAAGCGUUAUCCGGAAUUACUGGGCGUAAAGAGUUGCGUAGGUGGCAUUGUAAGCAAGACAUAAAAUCGUGUGGCUCAACCAUACAACCAUGUCUUGAACUGCAAAGCUAGAGAGCGAGAGGGGUAGAUGGAAUUACUAGUGUAGGAGUGAAAUCCGUAGAUAUUAGUAGGAACACCGAUAGCGUAGGCAGUCUACUGGCUCGUUUCUGACACUGAGGCACGAAAGCGUGGGGAGCAAAUGGG
rnacentral:rRNA from 1 species